UCUAUCUUUCGUUUUUGCUCAUUCCCUAAUUAACCCAGCAGCAGUUAAUUGCUGUCAUCGUGAGUUAACUUGCGUUGCUUAAGUGACAGAUAACUGCCAAGGCCGGACCUUGGGGUGCGCAAGAAGCUCAAUGGAACCGGACCUCCUCGAGGUAUGGGCCUCAAAAUUUUCUUAUUCUCUUUCUCUCUGAUACCACAUGUUCCAUCACCAUCACUCCAUCGGACUUUCCUUUUCUUCUUCUCCGAUUUGAUUUCCUUUUCCUUUUCUGUUGUCUGUCUUGUUUUAGGCUUAUCGCAUAUUUACGGCAUCAUGUAUUUAUUUUAAAAAAAAAUUAAAUAGAACAUCGUUCUUAAAAAAAAAAAAAUACGUUUUUAUUUUAUAGCUGAGACAGGAACUUGUUUCUUUAAUUUUACAAAUCUCAAUCUCUAAAAGACUCAAAUCAUCUAACACCAAAUUUCUUCAAAUUCAAAUCAGCCACCACUUCAAUAACAAGUAUUCAUAAUCCAUUACCAUUUACAUUUUUUGUAGCUUCAUAAUAUCUCGCGUCUGUGGCUCUUUCCUCCGUGAAAGCAAACACAUGAUUAAAGGAAUGUUAUAUCGUCUAUGUGAUUUUAUUCAACUCAAGAGGUGCAAUAACCGGUUUUACUUCUAAACUAAAAAAACGGAACUGAUGUUCAUUCUGGCAUAUGUUCACUUAUUCAUAUAGAUAUGCCAUUUAGUUAGUUAGUUACUAGACAAUUUCACGUGUUCUGGUAGUUUUUCCAGCACAGAAGUAUCAAAGUGAAUGACAUGUUGCAUGCAUAGAUUUUGAUAGUAAAAUCACAUAGUGUGUCUUCUUUCAGUACAUAUAUGGCACGAGUGAAAGGAUCAAACUCCAUCAUUACUGAUGUUCUUGGUGUGGUUGACCUAUCGAUGUUGUUGAUUAUCUCUGUUAGUUUUUUUUUGAAUUCAUUAUAUCUGGACAAGUGAUUAUGAGCCUUGACUUGAGUUUGGUGGUGGUGGUGAAAAGGAGAGAGAUGGUAGUGAGGUUGAAGAUAAAGUGGAAAAAUAUAUAUUGUAGGUAGACUAUAUAUCAGUGUAUCUCUUUAAUCCAAUGAUAAAAAACUAACUUUUUCAUGGUGGGAAAAAACCAACCUUACCCAAGUUAAACGUCACCCUAAUCCACUCUAUACUAAUACUAAGAUUACUUUCUCUCACUUUGUCAUUAUAAAAAAAAUAACAAGGUAAAGAAAAAAGAUAAAGAAAGUUAUACCAAAAUAAAUGGAAAAAAUGAUACAAAAGAAAGAAAAAUAAUAAGAUAAGGGAAAGCAAAAUUAUCUAUGUGAAGCAAACAAACUAAGAGAGA
rnacentral:lncRNA from 1 species